GAAUUCGCCCUUAGAGUUUGAUCCUGGCUCAGGACGAACGUUGGCGGCGUGCCUAACACAUGCAAGUCGAACGGGGAUCAUGAAGUGGAAGUUUUCGGAUGGAAGGUUCAUGAUUCUAGUGGCGAACGGGUGAGUAACGCGUGAACAACCUGCCUUUCAGUGGGGGAUAACACCUGGAAACAAGUGCUAAUACCGCAUGAGACCACGACCCGGCAUCGGGAUGGGGUCAAAGAUUUAUCGCUGAAAGAGGGGUUCGCGUCCCAUUAGGUAGUUGGUGAGAUAACAGCCCACCAAGCCGACGAUGGGUAGCCGAGCUGAGAGGCUGAUCGGCCACACUGGAACUGAGACACGGUCCAGACUCCUACGGGAGGCAGCAGUGGGGAAUAUUGGGCAAUGGGCGCAAGCCUGACCCAGCAACGCCGCGUGAGGGAAGAAGGUCUUCGGAUUGUAAACCUCUGUCGCAAGGGACGAAGAUGUGACGGUACCUUGUGAGGAAGCCCCGGCUAACUACGUGCCAGCAGCCGCGGUAAUACGUAGGGGGCGAGCGUUGUCCGGAAUUACUGGGCGUAAAGGGUGCGUAGGCGGUUGCUUAAGUUGGAUGUGAAAUACCCGGGCUUAACUUGGGGGGUGCAUUCAAAACUGGGCGACUAGAGUUCAGGAGAGGGAAGCGGAAUUCCUAGUGUAGCGGUGAAAUGCGUAGAUAUUAGGAGGAACACCAGUGGCGAAGGCGGCUUUCUGGACUGACACUGACGCUGAGGCACGAAAGCGUGGGGAGCAAACAGGAUUAGAUACCCUGGUAGUCCACGCUGUAAACGAUGAAUACUA
rnacentral:rRNA from 1 species